UGGAAGUAAAAGUCGUAACAAGGUCUCCGUUGGUGAACCAGCGGAGGGAUCAUUACCGAGUUUACAACUCCCAAACCCAAUGUGAACGUUACCAAACUGUUGCCUCGGCGGGAUCUCUGCCCCGGGUGCGUCGCAGCCCCGGACCAAGGCGCCCGCCGGAGGACCAACCAAAACUCUUUUGUAUACCCCCUCGCGGGUUUUUAUAUCUGAGCCAUCUCGGCGCCUCUCGUAGGCGUUUCGAAAAUGAAUCAAAACUUUCAACAACGGAUCUCUUGGUUCUGGCAUCGAUGAAGAACGCAGCGAAAUGCGAUAAGUAAUGUGAAUUGCAGAAUUCAGUGAAUCAUCGAAUCUUUGAACGCACAUUGCGCCCGCCAGUAUUCUGGCGGGCAUGCCUGUCCGAGCGUCAUUUCAACCCUCGAACCCCUCCGGGGGGUCGGCGUUGGGGAUCGGCCCUUUACGGGGCCGGCCCCGAAAUACAGUGGCGGUCUCGCCGCAGCCUCUCCUGCGCAGUAGUUUGCACACUCGCAUCGGGAGCGCGGCGCGUCCAUUGCCGUAAAACACCCAACUUUCUGAAAUGUUGACCUCGGAUCAGGUAGGAAUACCCGCUGACUUAAGCAUAUCAAUAAGCGGAGGA
rnacentral:rRNA from 1 species